rnacentral:rRNA from 1 species
AAUUUUGCUCAAUGGGCGCAAGCCUGAAGCAGCGACGCCGCGUGAAUGAUGAAGUCUUUCGGGAUGUAAAGUUCUGUCGACAGGGACAAUAAUGAUGGUACCUGUAGAGGAAGCACCGGCAAACUAUGUGCCAGCAGCCGCGGUAAUACAUAGGGUGCAAGCGUUAUCCGGAUUUACUGGGCGUAAAGCGUAUGUAGGCGGCAUUCUAAGUCAAACUUCAAAUCCCGGGGCUCAACCUCGGUUCGGGUUUGAUACUGGAAUGCUGGAGUUUGGGAGAGGAAAGCGGAACUAACAGUGUAGCGGUGAAAUGCGUAGAUAUUGUUAGGAACACCCGUGGCGAAGGCGGCUUUCUGGACCAACACUGACGCUGAGAUACGAAAGCGUGGGGAGCAA